UUUUCCAGCAUCUGCAGUUCCUUCUUAAACAAGUUACAUUCACUGCCCGGGACGGCAGCGAGCGCAGUGGACACUCGCGGUACUGCAGGGGUUCUGCAACUACACGUGGAGUGAAAACAUUUUAAACCAGAAAGCAAAGAAAGUGCGGGAGUUAAUAAAAUGGCUGCGAAACGCCCGGCCGGGAGUUGGACCGAGGAGGUAGUUUGUCCCAUCUGCAAAGAUUUCUUCACCGAUCUGGUGGCGCUGGACUGCGGACACAACUUCAGCCGCUCCUGCAUCACACAGAGUUGGGACAGGGAGGGGAGAAACUCAUGCCCGGAAUGCAGAGAGGAAUCUGCAAACCGCACCCUCAGGGUGAAUCGGGCCUUGGUUAGACUGUCUGAGAAAGCUCGAACACUGAGCCUGAAUCUCAAAGCGAAGAAAAGCAAACUUCAUUGCGAGGAACAUCAGGAAGACUGAAACUGUUUUGCAAAACUGACGAGAAACUGAUCUGUUUGAUUUGUGCAACUGGGCAGCAGCACAGGUCUCACAGCUUAAUGCUGAUAGAAGAAGCAAUUGAAUUCUACAAGGAACAGGUGAAAUCUUCUUUCGAAUCUCUCACAGAAAAGGAAUCCGAGAUCCAGAAAAUUGAGCAGGAACAGAAAGAGAGCAUUUCUGGAGUUCAGGAAGAGCCACACAACCUUCAGUCACUGAUCACAUCCC